rnacentral:lncRNA from 1 species
UGCCCCGAAAUACCGGGGAAGGCAGGGUUUCGCAGGGUAGCUGCCACGGGCGAAGAUACACCCCCCUGUUUCACACAUCAUACAUACAUACACAAGUCGGCAAUCGCUAAGGAAAGGGUUCUUCCUGAGCCACCUGUGGGUGAGAUUACUCCUGUCGUUACUCCUGCUCCUGCUCCUGCUCCUGCUCCUGCUCCUGCUCCUUCUCCUGCUCCUAGGGUGCGAGCUACUCCUCCCGGCCGCCUGGUGACCACCUCCUGCCCUGACACUCCUCCUCACUCUCCGCUACAAUCCGCUCGUCAGCGAGGCAAUAUCUGCUUCACUCUCACGCUGUCACCACCUGUGGCGCCGGAAUUGGAGCUAUAGAUCUGUCGAGGAGGGGCAGACUUUCAGAGGGGCAGAACGUUAUGUGCAUAUUCCGCUAUUUGCGACAGCGUGACUAACAUAGGAUUAUUAUUGCGUGUUACGCGUAAGCGGAACAGCUCCUGGCGUACUAUCGUACCGCCGCCUCCCGUACCCGUACGUGGGAAUAUCCGUCCCCCUCAGCUAGAUCCGAGCAGGCGGACGUCUGGCGGUCGAUAGCCAACUGGCCAACACAUCGUAUAAAUGGUAACGCUUAUAAAUUGUUCAUGGCUAUCUCAAUUCUUACCUCCUUACUAGUGGAAGCCUCUGAGUAGCUGACAGCUCACGGCCGGGCAACGAACAGCGGCAAAGGACCCUCAUGCGCUGUCGCCGCAGAGCAGCUUCUUCCCGCAGAC